rnacentral:rRNA from 1 species
AGUGAACGCUGGCGGUAGGCCUAACACAUGCAAGUCGAACGGCAGCACAGUAAGAGCUUGCUCUUACGGGUGGCGAGUGGCGGACGGGUGAGGAAUACAUCGGAAUCUACUUUUUCGUGGGGGAUAACGUAGGGAAACUUACGCUAAUACCGCAUACGACCUACGGGUGAAAGCAGGGGAUCUUCGGACCUUGCGCGAUUGAAUGAGCCGAUGUCGGAUUAGCUAGUUGGCGGGGUAAAGGCGCACCAAGGCGACGAUCCGUAGCUGGUCUGAGAGGAUGAUCAGCCACACUGGAACUGAGACACGGUCCCGACUCCUACGGGAGGCAGCAGUGGGGAAUAUUGGACAAUGGGCGCAAGCCUGAUCCAGCCAUACCGCGUGGGUCAAGAAGGCCUUCGGGUUGUAAAGCCCUUUUGUUGGGAAAGAAAAGCAGCAGGUUAAUACCCCGCUGUUCUGACGGUACCCAAAGAAUAAGCACCGGCUAACUUCGUG